AACGAACGCUGGCGGCGUGCCUAACACAUGCAAGUCGAGCGCAGGAAACUGACGGAACUCUUCGGAGGGAAGGCAGUGGAAUGAGCGGCGGACGGGUGAGUAACACGUAAGGAACCUGCCUCAAGGAUUGGGAUAACUCCGAGAAAUCGGAGCUAAUACCGGAUAGUUCAUCGGACCGCAUGGUCCGUUGAUGAAAGGCGCUUGGGCGUCACCUUGAGAUGGCCUUGCGGUGCAUUAGCUAGUUGGUGGGGUAACGGCCCACCAAGGCGACGAUGCAUAGCCGACCUGAGAGGGUGAUCGGCCACACUGGGACUGAGACACGGCCCAGACUCCUACGGGAGGCAGCAGUAGGGAAUCUUCCACAAUGGACGAAAGUCUGAUGGAGCAACGCCGCGUGAGUGAUGAAGGUUUUCGGAUCGUAAAACUCUGUUGUAAGGGAAGAACACGUACGAGAGGAAAUGCUCGUACCUUGACGGUACCUUACGAGAAAGCCACGGCUAACUACGUGCCAGCCGCCGCAGUAACAC
rnacentral:rRNA from 1 species